GACGAACGCUGGCGGCGUGCCUAAUACAUGCAAGUCGAACGCAGUGGGGACGGGUGAGUAACACGUGGGUAACCUCCCAUCAGAGGGGAUAACACUUGGAAAAAGGUGCUAAACCGACACUGAUGGAUGGACCCGCGGUGCAUUAGCUAGUGGGUGAGGUAACGGCUCACCAAGGCCACUAUGCAUAGACGACCGUGUAGGGGGAUAGGCCACACGGGGGCUGAGACACGGCCCAGACUCCUACGGGAGGGAGCAGGAGGGAAUCUUCGGAAAUGGACGAAAGUCGGACAGGGCAACGCCGCGUGAGUGAAGAAGGUUUUCGGAUCUUAAAACCCUGUUGUUAGAGAAGCGGUAUCUAACCAGAAAGCCACGGCUAACUACGUGCCAGCAGCCGCGGUAAUAC
rnacentral:rRNA from 1 species